GACGAACCGUGCGAACGUUGUUCGGAAUCACUGGGCUUAAAGGGCGCGUAGGCGGCCCGUCCAGUCCGGGGUGAAAGCCCCCAGCUUAACUGGGGAAGGGCCUCGGAUACUGACGGGCUGGAGGGCGGUAGGGGUCGCGGGAACUUCCGGUGGAGCGGUGAAAUGCGUUGAUAUCGGAAGGAACGCCGGUGGCGAAGGCGACUACCUGGCCUGUUCUUGACGCUGAGGCGCGAAAGCUAGGGGAGCAAACGGG
rnacentral:rRNA from 1 species